rnacentral:misc_RNA from 1 species
GAUGAAGAACGCAGCGAAAUGCGAUAAGUAAUGUGAAUUGCAGAAUUCAGUGAAUCAUCGAAUCUUUGAACGCACAUUGCGCCCCUUGGUAUUCCGAGGGGCAUGCCUGUUCGAGCGUCAUUAUAACCCCUCAAGCUCAGCUUGGUGUUGGGGCCUGCUGCACUGGCAGCCCUUAAAAUCGGUGGCGGCGCCGUCUGGCUCUAAGCGUAGUAAUUCUUCUCGCUAUGGAGUCCUGGUGGAUGCUUGCCAUCAACCCCCAAUUUUUCUAUGGUUGACCUCGGAUCAGGUAGGGAUACCCGCUGAACUUAAGCAUGUCAAUAAGCGGAGGA